CUGUUUCGCUUGCAGACUUUGAAUUUCCCGCCAGUCUGGGGCCAGAGCUUUGCUAGGUGUACUGGUGAGAUCCCACCGACUGGGGCGAGAGGCGAGGACGCAAGGGGGCUGCUUUAUUUGUGUAAAAUGCAACCUGGACUGGAACAACAACAUGGUUGGUUAAAAUGGAAAUGCAUUUUGCAUGCAGUGUACUUCCAGAAGAGAUGGGUGGAAUGAAGAAAAACACCAUCAUUCUGUAGUAGGUGGAGAUGCUGGCAGGAAGACCAGGUCAACAGAUGUAUUAGAAAUAUGAACUAAGACACAUACGAAGGAGCACUACGAAAUCACUCAUGGGAAGGAUGAUCACCCCGCAGUGCCUCUUGAGAAG